GAUCCUGGCUCAGGAUGAACGCUAGCUACAGGCUUAACACAUGCAAGUCGAGGGGCAGCAUGGUCUUAGCUUGCUAAGGCCGAUGGCGACCGGCGCACGGGUGAGUAACACGUAUCCAACCUGCCGUCUACUCUUGGACAGCCUUCUGAAAGGAAGAUUAAUACAAGAUGGCAUCAUGAGUCCGCAUGUUCACAUGAUUAAAGGUAUUCCGGUAGACGAUGGGGAUGCGUUCCAUUAGAUAGUAGGCGGGGUAACGGCCCACCUAGUCUUCGAUGGAUAGGGGUUCUGAGAGGAAGGUCCCCCACAUUGGAACUGAGACACGGUCCAAACUCCUACGGGAGGCAGCAGUGAGGAAUAUUGGUCAAUGGGCGAGAGCCUGAACCAGCCAAGUAGCGUGAAGGAUGACUGCCCUAUGGGUUGUAAACUUCUUUUAUAAAGGAAUAAAGUCGGGUAUGUAUACCCGUUUGCAUGUACUUUAUGAAUAAGGAUCGGCUAACUCCGUGCCAGCAGCCGCGGUAAUACGGAGGAUCCGAGCGUUAUCCGGAUUUAUUGGGUUUAAAGGGAGCGUAGAUGGAUGUUUAAGUCAGUUGUGAAAGUUUGCGGCUCAACCGUAAAAUUGCAGUUGAUACUGGAUAUCUUGAGUGCAGUUGAGGCAGGCGGAAUUCGUGGUGUAGCGGUGAAAUGCUUAGAUAUCACGAAGAACUCCGAUUGCGAAGGCAGCCUGCUAAGCUGCAACUGACAUUGAGGCUCGAAAGUGUGGGUAUCAAACAGGAUUAGAUACCCUGGUAGUCCACACGGUAAACGAUGAAUACUCGCUGUUUGCGAUAUACUGCAAGCGGCCAAGCGAAAGCGUUAAGUAUUCCACCUGGGGAGUACGCCGGCAACGGUGAAACUCAAAGGAAUUGACGGGGGCCCGCACAAGCGGAGGAACAUGUGGUUUAAUUCGAUGAUACGCGAGGAACCUUACCCGGGCUUAAAUUGCAGAUGAAUUACGGUGAAAGCCGUAAGCCGCAAGGCAUCUGUGAAGGUGCUGCAUGGUUGUCGUCAGCUCGUGCCGUGAGGUGUCGGCUUAAGUGCCAUAACGAGCGCAACCCU
rnacentral:rRNA from 1 species